GACGAACGCUGGCGGCGUGCUUAACACAUGCAAGUCGACAUGAGCGGCGAACGGGUGAGUAAUACGUGGGUAACCUGCCCUCCUUUUUGGGAUAAGCCUUGGAAACGGGGUCUAAGACCGAAGAAAGGGGGAUGUGCUCGCGGCCUAUCAGCUUGUUGGUGGGGUGCUGGCCUACCAAGGCGGUGACGGGUAGCCGGCAUGAGAGGGUGAACGGUCACGGUGGGACUGAGAAACGGCCCAGAGGCAUACGGGAGGGAGCAGUGGGGGAUAUGGCACAAUGGGCGAAAGCCUGCUGCAGCGACGCCGCGUGGGGGAGGAAGGCUUUCGGGUUGUAAAACUGUGUCGCAAGCGAGUGGGUAGGUGGAGAAGAAGCGCCGGCUAACUACGUGCCAGCCGCCGCGGUAAUUC
rnacentral:rRNA from 1 species